CUCGAUUAUGGUAGUUGGUGAGGUAACGGAUCACCAAGCCGAUAAUCGAUAGGGGCCGUGAGAGCGGUUGCCCCGAGAUGGGUACUGAGACAGCGACCCAGGCCUUACGAGGCGCAGCAGGCGCGAGACCUCCGCAAUACACGCAAGUGUGACGGGGUUACCCAAAGUGUCCUUAUUGGACUGUGGCGGGUGAGUAAUGUUCCCCGCUAGAAAGGAGAGGGCAAGGCUGGUGCCAGCCGCCGCGGUAAAACCAGCUCUUCAAGUGGUCGGGAUAAUUAUUGGGCUUAAAGUGUCCGUAGCCGGUUUAGUAAGUUCCUGGUAAAACCGGGCAGCUUAACUGUCCGUAUGCUAGGAAUACUGCUAUGCUAGAGGGCGGGAGAGGUCUGAGGUACUACAGGGGUAGGGGUGAAAUCUUAUAAUCCUUGUAGGACCACCAGUGGCGAAAGCGUCAGACUGGAACGCGCCUGACGGUGAGGGACGAAAGCCAGGGGAGCGAACCGGAUUAGAUACCCGGAUAGUCCUGGCCGUAAACGAUGCAUACUAGGCAAUGGUGCGGCCAUGAGCCGCAUCAGUACCGUAGGGAAACCGUUAAGUGUGCCGCCUGGGAAGUACGGUCGCAAGGCUAAAACUUAAAGGAAUUGGCGGGGGAGCGCCACAAGGGGUGAAGCCUGCGGUUCAAUUGGACUCAACGCCGGGAAACUUACCAGGGGAGACAGCAGAAUGACAGUCAGGUUGACGACCUUACUCGACGAGCUGAGAGGAGGUGCAUGGCCGUCGCCAGUUCGUGCUGUGAGGUAUCCUGUUAAGUCAGGCAACGAACGAGAUCCGCGCCUUUAUUUGCCAUCAAGAAGUCACGACUUUAUUGGGAACACUAAAGGGACCGCCGUCGAUAAGACGGAGGAAGGAGCGGGCAAAGGCAGGUCAGUAUGCCCCGAAACCCCUGGGCUACACGCGGGCUGCAAUGGUGCGAACAAUGGGCUGUAACUCCGAAAGGAGAACCAAUCCCGAAAUCGCAUCUCAGUGGGGAUUGUCGACUGUAACUCGUUGACAUGAACG
rnacentral:rRNA from 1 species